rnacentral:rRNA from 1 species
GCAUGGAAUAACACGAUAGGACUCUGGCCUAUCCUGUUGGUCUGUAGGACCGGAGUAAUGAUUAAGAGGGACAGUCGGGGGCAUUCGUAUUUCAUUGUCAGAGGUGAAAUUCUUGGAUUUAUGAAAGACGAACUACUGCGAAAGCAUUUGCCAAGGAUGUUUUCAUUA